rnacentral:rRNA from 1 species
AACGAACGCUGGCGGCAUGCCUAACACAUGCAAGUCGAACGAGACCUUCGGGUCUAGUGGCGCACGGGUGCGUAACGCGUGGGAAUCUGCCCUCAGGUACGGAAUAACUCAGGGAAACUUGAGCUAAUACCGUAUAAUGACUUCGGUCCAAAGAUUUAUCGCCUGGGAAUGAGCCCGCGUCGGAUUAGCUAGUUGGUGAGGUAAAGGCUCACCAAGGCGACGAUCCGUAGCUGGUCUGAGAGGAUGAUCAGCCACACUGGGACUGAGACACGGCCCAGACUCCUACGGGAGGCAGCAGUGGGGAAUAUUGGACAAUGGGCGCAAGCCUGAUCCAGCAAUGCCGUGUGAGUGAUGAAGGCCUUAGGGUUGUAAAGCUCUUUUACCCGGGAAGAUAAUGACUGUACCGGGAGAAUAAGCCCCGGCUAACUCCGUGCCAGCAGCCGCGGUAAUACGGAAGGGGCUAGCGUUGUUCGGAAUUACUGGGCGUAAAGCGCACGUAGGC